rnacentral:rRNA from 1 species
UACGUAGGGUGCAAGCGUUAAUCGGAAUUACUGGGCGUAAAGCGUGCGCAGGCGGUUAUGCAAGACAGUGGUGAAAUCCCCGGGCUCAACCUGGGAACUGCCUUUGUGACUGCAUAGCUAGAGUACGGUAGAGUGGGAUGGAAUUCCGCGUGUAGCAGUGAAAUGCGUAGAUAUGCGGAGGAACACCGAUGGCGAAGGCAAUCCCCUGGACCUGUACUGACGCUCAUGCACGAAAGCGUGGGGAGCAAACAGG